CGCUCCUCCCCAAGUUCCACGGUCCCCUGGGGAAGGGGGGGUCUCUGGGCCUCUGGCCUGGGCGCCCCGGGAGCCAAUCUGGUUGGCCGCAAGGGUUAAUCUGCAGAGGGCGGAGUUUUGACCCGUUCACCUGCUGCCCAUCACAGCGGGCGGCUGGGCUCCGGAGAACUCCGGCCCCUCGGCGCUCUCGCCCCUUCUUUCCCUUGCACUGAAGCCUAAGAGAUUAAAACCAAACCCCCCAAAAAACCCCAACCCUGACUCCGCGUGCAGUAUCACCCCAUCCCCACCAGGAGGCGACUCUCCGCGUUGCAGGACGCCAGCUCGGCGCAGCCGCCCUGAACUAAACGUCGGAGAGAGUAGAAUGCAACGGAGCCGGUGGACACGUUCCCUGCCCACAACACCUUUCCAGUCUAACAGUGCGUCGCAAGGGCUCGAGAAGUGUGAUUGAGUGACUCUGGGCAGCUGGGGCCGGUUUUACUUCUCGGACUCACCUGGCUUCGAAGUGCCACUCGGAAUUCGGAGUCAGGAAGACAAGACAGUUAAGAUGCAGUAUCUGGCUUAGUCCAGCCACUGUGGUAUUGCGACGGAGCAAGAGGAAAACGGUCAGGAGCAGCAGUUUCUUAAAGGUACAAGAAUGGGACCGGCAGUCGUGACAAGACCCCCCACCUUGGGCACACCCUGCUGACAUUGCCAUGAGGACAAAAGAAGCCUCCUAUGGGCUCCCCCAGCCACAGCCCACUACGUCUCAGCCUAAGAAGCCUCCUGGUUCUCCUAUAAA